ACCAGUAUGGACCAGUAUAAACCAGUAUGGACCAGUAUAAACCAGUAUAAACCAGUAUAAACCUCCCCAAACCAGUAUAAACCAGUAUAACCCAGCUCCAGCAGGGUGAGCGCGGCCAAACGCUCCAGUAACGGCACCGAGGUCAGGCCCUAAACCAGUACAAACCAGUAUAAACCAGUAUAAACCAGUAUGGACCAGUAUAAACCAGUAUGGACCAGUAUAAACCCCUAUAAACCAGUAUAAACCAGUAUGGACCAGUAUGAACCAGUACAAACCAGUAUAAACCCCUAUGAACCAUCCUAAACCAGUACAGACCAGUAUAAACCAGUAUAAACCAGUACAGACCAGUAUGGACCAGUAGAAACCAGUAGAAACCAGUACAAACCAGUAACCCCAAACUCCCUCCCAGUAACCCCCAGAGCAUCCCGAGCACCGUCCCAGUACAAACCAGUACAAACCAGUAUAAACCAGUGACCCCCACACUCCCUCCCAGUCCAAACCAGUAACCCCCACCCAAACCAGUACAAACCAGUACAAACCAGUACAAACCAGUAUAAAAAAAUCCCAAUUUUCCCCAUUUUUGACCCUUUCACCCCCUCCCAGCACCCCCAAAUCCCCUCCCAGUCCAAACCAGUCCAAACCAGUAACCCCCAGUCCCCUCCCAGUACAAACCAGUAGAAACCAGUAACCCCCCACCCCCAAACCAGAACAAACCAGUACAAACCAGUAUGAAAAAUAUCCCAAUUUUCCCCAUUUUCCCCCCAUUUUUAACCCUUUAACUCCCUCCCAGUUCAUCCCAGUUCCCUCCCAGUUCAUCCCAGUCCCCUCCCAGUCCAAACCAGUAACCCCCAACCCCAAACCAGUACAAACCAGUACAAACCAGUACAAACCAGUUACC